rnacentral:lncRNA from 1 species
GAUGUCUUCUUUGCAGAAAUGUCUGUUCAUGUCUUCUGCCCAUUUCUUGAUUGGAUUAUUCUUUGGGUGUUGAGUUUGGAUCGCAAGAUGGACACCUGAGGCCCACAGCAAGUGGCUUGCCCAUGGUCACAAGGAAAGUGAAUGAAAAGAGGAACUUUAGGAAGAGAUGGGAAGAGAGGAACUACUGAAGGAGACUACUGAGAAGGAAC